rnacentral:ribozyme from 13 species
AACAACAUAAGAAGAAGAAGAAGACAUUGUCAAACUUCUUUCUCUUUCUCGUUCUCUUCUCUUUCUCUUUCUCUUUCUCUUUCUCUUUC